rnacentral:lncRNA from 1 species
GCCCUUAGAUCUGUACAGGAAUGUGUUAGUCGAUCUGACAUCUAGGGCACACAUCUAACAAAGGCAUAAUUCAUAUCAGGCUUGGUAUAUUGAAUAUUUGGGUAAGUAAACACCUUUACACCCAUUCCUGUUGAACUCUUUCAAUAUUAAAUUCUAUGUACCUAGACUGGGAUAAGUCUUGCAUCCACUUACACCUAUCCCUAUAGAUGCCAAGUAUAUUAGAUGCUUAACCUAAGUCUAUUCUAUGAAAACUUCUGUGAUAAGAAAGCUAUUGACUAAGUGCAAUAUCAGGACUACCUUCCCAAUAAGCUGUAUGUCGCCUACAUACAUAAUCAAGAAGUUAGUGUGACUCCCAUCUAUUUUCUUGCGUACAUAUGGUUCAUCUAUAUUUUGAUAAAGUCAAAUAUUUUGACUGUCCCAUCAAAAAUAGAAGUACCCACUCUUCAUAAACUACCUGAAUUCAUAAAAGCAUUUGCCCUCCCACUAGAGACAACUUCUUUAGUUGGUGUAUGGUGAUAGCAAAAAUCGAAAUAUGCAUCCCUGACAGCAACCUAUUGGGUCAUACCCAUAGGUGCUUCAACCAUAGUCCAUACUUGGUUGAUGUUCAGGGAGUUCAUUUUGGAUAACAAGAUUUCAGGCCAACUAUUAGAAUCUCUACUCAUAAUAUUCUCUGAAUGGGUCAAGUAAAACAUCAUUUACAAUGAUGUAUAGUGUACUGCCAUUCAUAAUGACAAAUUCAUAUUUUGAGUGGUACAUUACACACUCAAAAUGAUCUUUCAGUGAGGAGGUGUGUAUCAUGGUCGUGCCUCAUCACUGGGCACAUUUGGUCGAGGAUUAACUUGUAGACACUCCACAGGUUAAGAUAGGAUAGUUUAUAGAUCUUGAACUUCUCAAGUUUCAUUAUCCUCCCACUAUCUCCUUUUAGAAAAAAAAAAUUUAAAAGAUAGCAUACCUACUAACAAAACACCUUUUGUCAAGUAGGAUGGUAGAAAUAAUAUCACAUACUAUCCUUUUAGGAUAACAUAUGAACUAAUAAAAAUCUGUUCUCGCACAAACUUAUGUACAUCAACUCUUUUCUCAUAAGUUGAGCAACCUACCUUUUGCCUUUUUCAUAUCUCAUAUGGAUUACUUGUAACAAAUUUUUAUAACAUCUAAUUCAUAUAGUAAUUUCUAGGAUAUUUCUCAAAAAGAGAUAAUAAUAUUUAUGAAGUAUUUUAGAAAAUACAUCAUAUCACAUAUGAAGUGUAAUCUCUAGAUCAAGAUAUUAUUAAUCUUCGAAUAUCCAUAUGUUCAAGACCUAAUACUUUGCUAGCCCUGAGAUAUGUGACCAUCACAUACUUAUUUCUUGUUCUCAUCAACAUGAAGAACAUCACUAAGUGACAGAAACAUAAGACCAUAAUCAUAAAAUUUAUCAGAGGGAGAGUAACUUUUACUCUUUAACAUUAAUUUCAAAUCUAUGUUACAAUAAUAUAGGAAUUAAAAUAAUAUUUUUGAUAAACAAUGGUUUACUAAUUUCUAAAUAAAUAGGUUCUUACAGUCUUAGUAUCAAUGGAUUAUCCAUCAGUGCCAUAAGACUAGUAAUCACCUCACUUUAGCUUUAUAGGUCUUGCAACACUUUGCAUAAGUGAAACCUAUAUAAGGUAUCACAUACCUUAAAUUUUAAAGCUAAAACACUCAAUGAAUUAGUAAUUUAUAUCACAUAUAAACUAUUAACAAAUACAACUUUUGCAUUCUGCUAUUACUUUAUGCUUGUAAGAUAAUUCUUACAAUUUAUUGCUCAUCAAUGCUGUAAUGAUAUUAGAUACCUAUAGUGAAGACAUUCUUCACCUUCUAUUCCUCAACCAUUCCAUGACAUUCGAUCAAUUUUUAAAAAUAUCCUAAGUAGUGAAUGUAAAGAUGCAAAUGUGAAUAUAAAAAUAUAAAAAAAGACUACUCAAGAUGACAUGCACAAGUUAGACAAAGAUUUUUAUCUAAUUAUGUCUCUUACUAUUUUAACGAAUUUCAUAGCCCUCAAGUAUGAAAUCAAAAAAUCUUAUCAUAAAAUUUUUUAAUGGGGUUGAGAUCCUACUUUCUUAUAAAAAACCUUAUGGAUAGCACAACAAGCUCCUAUAAGUUCAAAGAUAAGUAACUCUUUACUAAUUAUAUCUCAUGCAACUCUCAAUAUAACUUUUGCCUCUAAAAUACUUAUAUCCUUAUGGAUAGCACAACAAACUAUAGUAUUUUAGUUAAGUCAUACCCUUCAAUCUUAUAUGAUCAUAUCUGAAUAAUACUAUCCUUGUAAAUAGCACAAUAAGACAGUACUACCAAAUAUGCCAUAAGCAUCACUAAGUCAACAUCAUACCAAUCACUAUAGCAAGUCUCAUGGAUAGCACAACAAACUCACUACAGUUCUUGACAUACUCUAUUGACCUAGUAUGAGCUAAGUAUCAUUAGCUUCAUUAUGCACCAAGACAGUAUUAAGCCAGUCCCUACAGCAAGCCUUGUGGAUAACAUAAUAAGCCUACUAUGGUUCUUGACAUAAUAGUGACUUAGCAUGAAGGAAGGCAUGGGUAGUAUUCUUAACACUUCACCA